rnacentral:pre_miRNA from 1 species
CAACUACUCCCUCUGUCCCAAAUUUCUUGUCUUAGAUUUGUCUAGAUACGGAUGUAUCUAAUACUAAAAUGUGACUUGAUACAUCCGUAUCUAGACAAAUCUAAGACACGAAUUUUGGGACGGAGGGAGUACUUU